rnacentral:rRNA from 1 species
GUCUACAGCCAUGCUACCUUGAACAGGCCCGAUCCUGUCAGAUCUCAGAAGCUAAGCACGGUCGGGCCUGGUUAGUACUCAGCUGGGAGACCACCUAGGAAGACCGGGUACUGUAGGUG